UACGUGCCAGCAGCCGCGGAUAAUACGUAGGGUUCGCAAGCGUUAACUCGGAAUUACUGGGCGUAAAGCGUGCGCAAGGCGGUUUUGUUCAAGCCAGACUGUGAAAUCCCCGGGCUUAACCUGGGAAUGGCAAUUUGGGACUUCGCAAGGCCUAGAGUACGGCAGAGGAGACUAGAAUUCCUGGUGAUAGCAGUUGCAAAUGCCGUAGAUAUCAGGAGGAAUACCGAUGGCGAAGGCAGGUCAUCUGGUGCCUGCAUACUGACGCUCAUGCACGAAAGCGUGGGGAGCAAACAGGAUUAAGAUUCACCCCUGGUAGUCCACGCCCUAAACGAUGUCAACUGGUUGUUGGGGAAUUAUUACCUUUCCUUAGUAACGAAGCUAACGCGUGAAGUUGACCGCC
rnacentral:rRNA from 1 species